rnacentral:rRNA from 1 species
GACGAACGCUGGCGGCGUGCUUAACACAUGCAAGUCGAACGGAAAGGCCCUGCUUUUGUGGGGUGCUCGAGUGGCGAACGGGUGAGUAACACGUGAGUAACCUGCCCUUGACUUUGGGAUAACUUCAGGAAACUGGGGCUAAUACCGGAUAGGAGCUCCUGCUGCAUGGUGGGGGUUGGAAAGUUUCGGCGGUUGGGGAUGGACUCGCGGCUUAUCAGCUUGUUGGUGGGGUAGUGGCUUACCAAGGCUUUGACGGGUAGCCGGCCUGGGAGGGUGACCGGCCAAAUUGGGUAGGGGAUAGGGCCGAAGCGACUAGGGGGGGAAGGAGGGGGGAAUGAUGCACAAAGGGCGGGGGCGUGAAGAAGGAACGCCGGGUGCGGAAAGCCGGCGGUCGGGUUGAAAACCGGUUUCCCUGGUAAGGGAGGGGGGUGAAGGGUAAUGGGAAAAGAAGCACGGCUAAAUUCGUG